GAUGAACGCUAGCGGCAGGCCUAACACAUGCAAGUCGAGGGGUAACAGGAAAGCUUGCUUUUGCUGACGACCGGCGCACGGGUGCGUAACGCGUAUGCAACCUACCUCAUACAGGAGAAUAGCCCUUGGAAACGAGGAUUAAUACUCCAUGGUAUCAUUUUUUCGCAUGUUAGAAUGAUUAAAGAAUUUCGGUAUGAGAUGGGCAUGCGUCCCAUUAGCUAGUUGGUGAGGUAACGGCUCACCAAGGCGACGAUGGGUAGGGGGCCUGAGAGGGUGGUCCCCCACACUGGUACUGAGACACGGACCAGACUCCUACGGGAGGCAGCAGUGAGGAAUAUUGGUCAAUGGAGGCAACUCUGAACCAGCCAUGCCGCGUGAAGGAUGACGGCCCUAUGGGUUGUAAACUUCUUUUAUAUGGGAAGAAACUUAUCUACGUGUAGAUAACUGACGGUACCAUACGAAUAAGGAUCGGCUAACUCCGUG
rnacentral:rRNA from 1 species